AGUGAACGCUGGCGGUAGGCCUAACACAUGCAAGUCGAACGGCAGCACAGUAAGAGCUUGCUCUUACGGGUGGCGAGUGGCGGACGGGUGAGGAAUACAUCGGAAUCUACUUUUUCGUGGGGGAUAACGUAGGGAAACUUACGCUAAUACCGCAUACGACCUACGGGUGAAAGCAGGGGAUCUUCGGACCUUGCGCGAUUGAAUGAGCCGAUGUCGGAUUAGCUAGUUGGCGGGGUAAAGGCCCACCAAGGCGACGAUCCGUAGCUGGUCUGAGAGGAUGAUCAGCCACACUGGAACUGAGACACGGUCCAGACUCCAACGGGAGGCAGCAGUGGGGAAUAUUGGACAAUGGGCGCAAGCCUGAUCCAGCCAUACCGCGUGGGUGAAGAAGGCCUUCGGGUUGUAAAGCCCCUUUGUUGGGAAAGAAAAGCAGCAGGUUAAGACCCCGCUGUUCUGACGGUACCCAAAGAAUGAGCACCGGCUAACUUCGU
rnacentral:rRNA from 1 species